UAAAAAAUUGAAAGUCAGCUGUACUCAAAGUAUCAGAAAAAUUUGGGGUUGAUCAAUUGAUCAUAUAAAUGUGGCAAUGCCUGAUGUUCAUAAGUGGUUUUUUUUUUUUUUUUUUUUUUUUUUUUUUUUUUUUUUUUUUUUAGCACAGUGGAGUAGCUUUCUUUAAGGAGAUCUAUUUCCACCGUUUUCCAGAAUCUAACUAAGUACCUACUAAAACAUGAUAUGCAUUAAUUAUCAACUAGCCUCACCAAAAUGUCAACCUUAUCAUCUCUUCAUCUAAAGUCUCAAUGAUAUUACGCUUCAAAUCAUUCAUGUUGAUAUUUACUUAAUUAGAUCUCCACAGUGAUUACUGCCUCGCACCACCAUUUACUUUAAUCAUCUAAGCUGUCUUUUUUCACCUUUUCACUCUUUUCCAAUUAGGCGUUCUUAAACAUUCUUUGACCCCAGUCAACAUUUGCACCAAAGCACAAUUGAAAUCUGAAGCUUACUUUGUGCAAGUGUCAAAUUCAUUUAGAUGCUGUCCUCAGUGAAAAAGAAAAUCUUCAGCAAAAAAAUUACCGAAGUUUUUUUCAAGUGAUCCUUCAAGAUGUUGAUGUUCAAAAUUUUAGUUUUUGGCGUUUUUUAUUCUGACAGGAUCUCGGGGAAAUCUACUGGACAAGCUUCUGAAAUAGCACUUAGUCCACCGAGGAGCUCUGCAUGGAGUGAAGAUAAUCUGGACAAUCAUCGGAACAACAUUUCUGGAGAGACCCAGAAAUUUGCCGCAGCUCAAAGUCAUGAGGUACCGAAAAAUUGUGAACAGGUGAACAUAUGUCUUGUUGCUGGCAGUAUCAAAACAAAGGAAGAAGUAAUGGUCUGGGAGGGAACUUUACCUGUUGCACUAACUUUACCAGCAUACGUUGGCUCUCCUGACGCAUCCGUUAAUGCGCCGCUCAGAGUUAGCGGUGGUAUUCAAUGGUACUCCAGUUCACUGCAAGUUGUUGGUCAAAAUACGAUCUACAUCAAUGGAUCAUUCUCUGCACCCAUGUGUUAUAACUCUGAAGGUGAUCAUUGCUGGGCUAAUGGAAACUUUGAAUUGAAAUUCCGGGCUGACUCAAAAUUCUCCUGGCAAGCUAUUCAAGGUCAGUUAAUGUCAUCUCCAGUUUAUUACAAGGUGGUAAAAGACAUGAAAGUACCUCUUCCAGAUAUGGAGGCGUCUUCAAAGAAUUUCUCUCUCGAGUCCCCUUCAGCGGAAGACUUCAUUUUGCAUAAACAACCAACUGUGUCAAAGGAGAAUUUCAUUCUUCAGAGUGCGCCAUCAAUGUUCCAUCAAACAUUUGUCUUACAGCAGUCCCCAAAAGAAGUGAGAGCCCCGAUUUUUCUGGAGGGACAAUUCAGCAAGGAUCGCUCCGAGUUCUACUGGGAUGGUACAGCUUUUGUGUUGUUUCCACCCACCAAAAAGGCAGAAGGAGAAUCGGCGAGCCCUUCCUCAAAGACUGAACAGAGUUUAGAUUCAGACUCUUUGGAGAGUGAUGCCGGUUUUGAUAGUGACUGGGUGAUUGUUCCAAAAAUCAACCCUUCUAAGCCUGAGUUAGUCCCAAGUGAAAUGGACGCCUAUAGCCCCCCAGAUGUAGCAAGGUAUUUUGAAUCCGUAAAAAAUGAUCCGUUGAAACCGAAUGAUAUCCCCCCAGUUACAGAUGAAGUUCCAGCAAAGAAAACCUUGCAGAGAUCUCAGCUUCAAAUGAAAUUGGACAGGGAUUUUCAGAAUGUGACGUACAAGAAGGAAUCGAUUCCGGGUCAUCAUAUGAAUAUAAGUGAAGAAGAAAGUGAAUGGGAGCUUGUGCCAGGAACCAUAAGUGAUUACAGACGUAAAAAUAGCACGGAUCCAAACCAUUUGGGCCCAGCUGAACCGCAUCGCAACAGAAAUGCCCUCGAUGACUAUAUUGAUGAAAGAGAUCGAAGAAUGAAAGAAAUGAUACGCAAUGCAACUUUGAAAGAUACACCUGAUUUUAUGGCUAGACAUUUUGAAACUUUUGGAGACGGUUCAUUAAAAUCAAUUGACCCAUCAGCAAAUGAGUGGGUGGAUAUGGAGGUAGUAAUAGGGAAAAAUCAACCUGAAGCUAAUUUUCAAGAGAAGAAAACCUUACAAAGAUCCCAACUUCAAAUGAAAUUGGACAGGGAUUUUCAAAAUGUGACCUACAAAAAAGAAUCGAUUCCAGGCCAUCAUAUGAAUAUAAGUGAAGGAGAAAGUGAGUGGGAGCUUGUGCCAGGAACCAUAAGUGAUUACAGACGUAAAAAUAGCACGGAUCCAAAUCAUUUGGGCCCAGCAGAGCCGCAUCGGAACAGAAACGCCUUUGAUGACCACGUUGAUGAAGAGAAUAGAAGAAUGAGAGAACACAUACGUAACAUGACUCUGAAAACUGCACCAGGUCUUUCAAGUUACUCCAAAAAGUCUGUUGUCAAGUUAAAACUAAAAGUAACAUCGACAAGUUCGGAAGAUACCUCAGCUUCUAAUGAAAAUAAUCGAAUUUUGUUUAAAGUUGAUCCUUCAAUCGCGCUGUUUCCAAUGGACUGGAAGUUUGAUAUCUUGAGUAAAGUUAGAGUCAUCCCACUUGAUUUUUUUUACAAAAUGAAUUCAUCUAUCAGAACGUCGAAACCAGUCAUCUUAUGGAGUGCAACAAUAAAUGAAAACAAUUUAAAAGGGAAUAUUUCAAUUCCAGAAUUUAUUUUAGACGCGAACAAGCAGAGACAUGUUUUGUGGCUAAAUACUACUUUUAGUUUAAAUUAUCGCACAUCCGCCGAAGAUACCCUGCAAAAUUUUGUAACUUGUGGAAUUUUACAAAGUUCACGUCUAUUACUAAAAGAUAUUAAAUGCUCAAAUGUAGAAAAUGUUUCAAAUGAUUUUGAGACUCUGAACUGGCAGCUGGACACUUUCCAAAAAAUCUCAUUAAUCCAGGCCGGCCAACCACUACCCACUUCAGACUUUCUUUUACUCGGCGAAUUCACAGAUGAUAAAACAGCUUUUCUUUGGGACGGAAGCAUAAUGUUCAACUUUGAAAAUCGAGGGAAGAAAGAUAACUUCGAGGUCGCCAUGGAGGAUGUCAACCCUGAUUGGUCAGCAACCCCGCUAAAAAUCACAGCAGUUUCUUUCAACGUGGACUCUGUGAACGGAGAGCCUGUAUCACUAGUACACCCUUGGUCAUCCUUAACUCCUGGUUCAUUUCCAUUUGCCUUUCUGACCAAUAAUCAUGUCGCUGAUGUGAAUUCGGCCCUUUUCUGGACAGGCCGUGUGGAAGGAGAUAAAUUGAAAGGAAAUUUCACCCUGCCUUUAUUCCCAACAGCAAUAACCAGUCAGGAUGUUUUAAGAGGCACAUUUGAGAUGCAGCUAAGAGCAAAUCUGCCUCAGUUUUCUUGGUACAGUAGAGAGCAUUUAUACACAGGACCAAACCCACCCCCAGGUCCUCCUCCAGGUCCUCCACCAGGUCCUAUGCCAGGUCCCAGGAAAGCCAAAGGUCCACAAAAAAAUGCUCCACAUAACGUACAAUUCGUACCAUUUCUUGACGUAUGGCCUCCUCCACCCACCAACUUUCCAAAAAUGUUUCCGAUUCCAUUCCCAAUCAACAUCACGGCCUCUCCAUCAGACCGUGCUGUCAAAAUGGAACCUGUUUCAAAUCUGGAGGAAUCAGUUGCAGAGAUGGUUGAUAGUGAUAGCCUUGAAACCAAAGGCAAAUUCCCCUCACUUUUACACUGGUCUCCUAAUAAAAUUCUCAGCCAAGAAGAAUUGUCAAAAUUAAUCAAGCCAUCCCCUGCGUCAUCCCAUCUUGUAUUGAACACAGUUCCUUGGCCACCCGUCUACCCGAAGUGGCCGUCUGAUAAACCUCCUCCGCCAUGGGAACAACCUUUUCCAUUCGCUGAUUCAAAUGCUGAACCACAUCCUGACGAGCCACUCCUCGCCAAAGACAUGGAACUACUAGAAGAAAAAGCCAACGUUCACUUGAACUCUAAAACUACUCAAACUGUCUUCGCAGACAGUGUCACCCUAAAUCCUGCAAACAAAAUCAAGAAAGCAAGAAAGAACGUGCUUCAUGCAUCACCAAUCACCUCAAAGCAAGCUGUCGAUUGUGAAAUUGAAGAAUUGACAUCGCUAUACAUGAAGCAACUUGCAGCAAUUAUCAAGCCUGGGAUCCAGUAUGCUACCAAGCUACUGAUGAAGUCAAAAGAAGGCGUUAAAUAUAGUACGCAAAAACUGAACGUGUCAGAAUGCGUCGCAAAUCUCUUGAAAAAUAGUGUGCCGUCUAAAAUUGUUCUUGAUGGUGACUGGGAGGAAAAUUAUGAUGACUACUAUUGGCCAGGUAAUGCUGUGUUUUUGCUAGCAAAGACGCCUCUGCGGAAACCACAUAGUCAAAUGUUUAACAAACCACCCCCUCCUGCCAGAAUACUGCAGAAAUUAAAGGAUAAACUGGGAAUUUUGCCCUUGUUUCAUGGAUUCUUUCCUGCCCGAGUUGUUGAUGGCAGCAUUUCAGUAGGAACGACACCAACUGUUCAGUCAACUGUGUGGUCAGGGAAAUUGCCCUUAUCCUUUCCAAUACCUGCAACAUGGGCCUCAGGAGAAGUUCUGACUGACAGUGGUGACAAGUUAGGAAUUCACUGGACGCCAACACUUGUAUCCUACGAUCAUGUUGAAGGAACUUAUUAUCUUGACGUCGUCUCAAAUUCAACAAUUUCAGGAAAUUUCCGGUUUCAGAUGCUCCCAGUCUGGGGUGAUUCUACUGUCAAUAAGGUCCUUACUGCCGGACAAAAAUUUUACUCAAAAGUAAAUAUUGAACCUCUCCCUGAUGGAAUGAAGGGUGAUACUGGCCUUCAAGAAUCGGAUGACAGUCAGAUCAAAGUAAUUGGAGAAAAAUUUGUACCUCUUACGAUUAAAGGCGAUUAUAAUGUGGAUAGUGCCAUAUUUGAUUGGACAGGAGAUAUUGCCAUCAGUAUACCCUAA
rnacentral:lncRNA from 1 species